UAUAUAUUAGUUGUGAGGGCACUCAUUCAUGUUGAAUGAGAAUAUGAAAUCAAGUACGAUCAUGCACAGAUGCAUUACCGAUGAGGUUAGUAAAAUUCAGAAUGAUCCAACAUAAGUGUAAUUUCCAUGAACAUGCUUAGAAACAGAUUAUCAUGAUGUAUACAUCUGCAUGCUCCAAAAAAUUGAAAUCAAAUGUGCCAUGGCACAGAAAUGUCAUAGUACGCUCGCAAAAAUAUUUUUCUUCUAUACAUGGACACAGAACAAGCUCUAAUCAGAGAUAACAAAACAAAUGUCAUUUGACAGAGUAUAACUAUGAUAUAUCAUGACAAACUGUAUCAUGACAUUAGUUCUUUGGGGCAAAACAAAAGCAUCACAAAGUGCAUACUCAUUAUCCUAACUAUGAGACAUCAAUAAUUACAAGCAUCAAGAAAAGGGCAAUUUUUCACCUUUGCACAUAUGUCAAGUGUGUAGUGCAGACUGUUGGGUGUUGCUCUCUCCUCGACCACAGAUGUUUGAAGUCUGAACAAAUUCUUCUGCAUUUCUCCCUUUUGGGUUGUAGCUACAAGCAAACAAAAUAUGAUACAUGCAUCCUUCAACAUUGGGUUGUAAAUCUUCCUCCUAAUCUUCAGCUUGUACCUGAGCUUCCUCAACCCCUGCUUCUUCUGUUUGGCAUGAAUUUUACCUCCUCUACCACACCUUCUUCCUCCACCUCUACCUUGCCAUCUCUGCCUCUAGCAUUGUCUCCCCCUUUACCAGAUCAUGUAUAUCUGCAUAACCACAAACUAAGAAAGCUCUUCGAGACAUCAUAGUGACAUCAGUAGUUCAUGACAGAACAGAUACUUUUUUGCGGGAAAGAACAGUCUCGGUUGUUAAACAUUAAAGAACAAUCCAGUGAUCAUAUCAAGAAGUCGGAGGCCCAGGAUGCUCUAGUAACCUCAGUACAAAAGAGGAAGAAAUAGCAAUCAACGCCUUGAGGAAAUAAAGAAGAACACAAUUAACUAUGAUCUUGCUAUUAAAGAAGCAUACAUAAGAACCACCAUCUAUUGACAAGCCGGUACAAUGACAUUACUUUCAGUUCCAGAGAACAAGUGUAUAUAGCACUUCUUAAAAGGAAAUGGAUAUUAUAUUUAGUGGUAUGUUAAUCACUAUGUAGCAAGCAUCAGACAGUCUUGCUAUUUUGAAGUAACAGUAAACAACUCCAUCCUAUUCGUUAAUGUAGAGAUGAACAAUUGAUUCAAGCAGACUACACAGAAUUCUUGUUUUAAUUCAGAUCACCUCCUGUAUGUAAUAAAAAUGAACUAUAGAUAAAAGAAAUUAAUCUUACUUGGCUGGAAGUAGCAUGAAGAUGAGAUGAUUCCACAUUAUUCUCAACGAUUCAUGCAUACCAACGUGAGCAGAAAUCCACAACCAGGAGACUGGUGGUGCGCGGGCGCGUCCACAACAAUCAGCCUCGGUGGCGGUCUAUCAUCCUCGAUAGUGGCGUUUCCAGCUCGGUUCUAGAUGGUCGUCCUGGAUGGCGAUACCUGGAGUCCUCAACGGAUGCGGUUCCGGCUCAAAGGGCAGCGUCCGUAGAACUCAAGCGGAGGCGGCGGCGGCAGCAAAUCAAAGCAUGUACGGCAUCGGCGCCUACAACGCCGUUCGCAUCCCACCGCUCACCCCGCACGGUGUUGUGCACCACGACACGCUGACGCGCCGCCCUGUGCUUCCUUUACACAUCGGCGGGACGCACCAACUCCAUGCGUGGCCCGGAUCUGGCCGCCAUGGGCCUGGCGACCAGGCCUCACCCCCGCUUGGAUCCGACCGCUGCCUUCCCUACUGCGCGCCCCCUCUCGCCAUACGCUGCAUCCCCCAACAGAGUCGUAGGCAGCCGCUUCCCCUGACCCUCUCCCCUCUGGUGGCCGUGCAGGCGACCAGAGAGAGCACGACGGCGCCUCCCCUUGUCUCCCGCUGGUGGUCGCACUCCUUCCCGACUCCGGCUUCCAGCGCACGCCGCUCCGAGCCGCUCCGGCGAUGAGCGCGCCGAAGAGGGCGUUGUACGGGAGGCGGGGAGAGCCCCGGGAGGGUGUCGCGGGGCAGUUCGGGUGAGGAUUGGGGCUGCGUCAUUGUAGGUUUUUU
rnacentral:rRNA from 1 species